rnacentral:rRNA from 1 species
UACGAAGGGGGCUAGCGUUGCUCGGAAUCACUGGGCGUAAAGCGCACGUAGGCGGACUCUUAAGUCGGGGGUGAAAUCCUGGAGCUCAACUCCAGAACUGCCUUCGAUACUGAGAGCCUUGAGUUCGGGGAGAGGGAUGCGGAAUUCCAGGUGUAGCGGUGAAAUGCGCAGAUAUCAGGAGGAACACCGGUGGCGAAGGCGGGUCUCUGGGCCGAUAUUGCUGAGGAGCGAAAGCGUGGGGAGCGAACAGG